UCCAGACUCCUACGGGAGGCAGCAGUGGGGGAUAUUGCACAAUGGGGGGAACCCUGAUGCAGCGACGCCGCGUGGGUGAAGGAGCGUUUCGGCGCGUAAAGCCCUCUCGGCAGGGAAGAAGGAGGACGGUACCUGACUAAGAAGCCCCGGCUAACUACGUGCCAGCAGCCGCGGUAAUACGUAGGGGGCAAGCGUUAUCCGGAUUUACUGGGUGUAAAGGGGGCGCAGACGGCAGCGCAAGCCAGGAGUGAAAGCCCGGGGCCCAACCCCGGGACUGCUCUUGGAACUGCGCGGCUGGAGUGCAGGAGGGGCAGGCGGAAUUCCUGGUGUAGCGGUGAAAUGCGUAGAUAUCAGGAGGAACACCGGUGGCGAAGGCGGCCUGCUGGACUGCGACUGACGUUGAGGCCCGAAAGCGUGGGGAGCAAACAGGAUUAGAUACCCUAGUAAAC
rnacentral:rRNA from 1 species